rnacentral:rRNA from 1 species
UACGGGGGAGCAAGCGUUGUUCGGAUUUACUGGGCGUAAAGGGCGCGUAGACGGCCAGCACAAGUCAGUUGUGAAAUCUCCGGGCUUAACUCGGAAAGGUCAACUGAUACUGUGCGGCUAGAGUGCAGAAGGGCAACUGGAAUUCUCGGUGUAGCGGUGAAAUGCGUAGAUAUCGGAGAGGAACACCUGCGGCGAAGGCGGGUUGCUGGGCUGACACUGACGCUGAUGCGCGAAAGCCAGGGAGGCGAACGGG